rnacentral:rRNA from 1 species
UGGUGGAGUGAUUUGUCUGGUUAAUUCCGAUAACGAACGAGACUCUAGCCUGCUAAAUAGACGGGCAAUCCCAUUGUGGGUUGACCCGAUUCGCUUCUUAGAGGGACAAGUGGCGUUCCUAGCCACGCGAAAUUGAGCAAUAACA